GAGUUUUCUUCAAUCAAGAAGGGAGCGGACGGCCUCUUUGUGAUCAAGUGGUUGAGGUGUAAAGUUGACUAGAAAUAUUUAUGGGAGGCAUUUACAAAGACCAGAGCAUACUAGAGGCCGCCCGCUGUGAAGAUUGCGUGAAGAUCUCAGCCAAAAUCUCGUGUGUGGUGAUGUCAUCUCGGGCCACGUGAGAUUUCGUGCCAGACCUUCAAGCAAGAUGACAGCGGCUGGCCGUCAUGAGAAAAUGGAU